GCGGAUGUAGCUCAGCUGGAUAGAGUACCUGGCUACGAACCAGACGGUCGGAGGUUCGAAUCCUCCCAUCCGCACCA
rnacentral:tRNA from 1 species